rnacentral:rRNA from 1 species
UACGAAGGGGGCUAGCGUUGUUCGGAAUUACUGGGCGUAAAGCGCACGUAGGCGGGUUGUUAAGUCAGGGGUGAAAUCCUGGAGCUCAACUCCAGGACUGCCUUUGAUACUGGCAACCUAGAGACUGGAAGAGGUUAGUGGAAUUCCCAGUGUAGAGGUGAAAUUCGUAGAUAUUGGGAAGAACACCAGUGGCGAAGGCGGCUAACUGGUCCAGCACUGACGCUGAGGUGCGAAAGCGUGGGGAGCAAACAGG